rnacentral:rRNA from 1 species
AGCUCCAAUAGCGUAUAUUAAUGUUGUUGCAGUUAAAAAGCUCGUAGUUGGAUUUCUGACAAGAGCGGCCGGUCCGAGCCCUCUGUGGGUUCGUGUACUUUGUGUUGUCUCUAGUCAUCCUUAUGAAGAACGUGUGUGGUAUUAACUUGUCGUGCUCGGGACUCAUAUCGUUUACUGUGAAAAAAUUAGAGUGUUCAAAGCAGGCAAUCGCUGUGAAUACAUUAGCAUGGAAUAAUAAGAUAGGACUUUGGUACUAUUUUGUUGGUUUGCAUACCAAGGUAAUGAUUAACAGGGACAGUUGGGGGUAUUCGUAUUUAUAUGUCAGAGGUGAAAUUCUUGGAUUUUAGAAAGACGAACUACUGCGAAAGCAUUUACCAAGGAUGUUUUCAUUAAUCAAGAA